ACGUUUUCUCUUGGGUACGUUUUCUCCUGACACCCAAUGUUAGACCUCUACGUCAUAACUUUCAGUUUGCAAAAUGAGAUAUUGUCAUAGACCAAAAUAAACACUAAAGACAGUGAAGCAAAGGAAGGAGGAGGUGUAACGUGUUACUCGUUUCACUAUGAAAGUUUAUUUGUUAUGCUUCAUGUAGGUUUGCAAGAUAGAAGUCACAACCUGUUAGAUAUGAGAAAUUAAAACGAUUGAUAAAUUUAUAGUAGUAGUUGACAGCUAUAGGAUAUUCAGUCAGCUCUGAUCAGACAAAGACGGAUACGACUGCAGUAUGUUGUGUGCCACAGUGCAAGGUAGAUGGACAAAAUGACCUACGAAUAGAGACUUUUUGCCAAGCUAAUCAAGCUGAAAUAUUCACAUGUUAAGCCUCGGCAAAACUUAACAGCUGAACCAGCAUGCAUAAACCUUAAAUAUCUUGCACAAUUUUUGGAUGCUUAUUAGUUAUUACACACAGGGAAAUGGAAGACAACAUUUUCCACAACUUUGUCUUUGUGUUGGAGUUUGAUAUUUUAACAAGAUUUAAAGAAAAGCAGUGUUGGAGAAGAAAGAUAACAGAACAUGGAGGGACAAUAUCCUAUGUUUUUACUCCGAAGGUAAACUAUGUGGUGCUAUUUGGUGAUAUGUUGGAGAAAUCAUCGUAUAAGCAAAGACAAGCUGUGAGACAUAAUGUUCCUGUUCUGCGCUGUGAAUUCAUCACUGAUUGUAUUGAACAGAAGCAGAUUUUGCCAACAGCCACAUAUGCUGUGGGAGAACCAAUCUCUGGAAAGAAUUUCAAAAAAGGACGAAUAACUAAACAAGAAAAGACAAAAAGGUACCUCAGUGCUAGAAGACAUGUGAAGAGUGUUAAUUUGAAUGCUAUAAAGUCCUGGUCUCUGGAUGAUCCUGAAGCCCCAUCACACAAUGAUGAUCAGUAUGAGGUAGCCAAGUGGGUUUUGUUAAAGUCAACAAAAGUGAUUCAGGUUAUUGAGGUUCAUGCGCUGACGUCAUGUGACAAGUUCCGGCUAUAUCAUCAGGAGGGACACUUGGAUGGGGAGCACAUAUUGGCUUCUGAAGGCCCUGUGGUCUGGUAUUUGGAUACUGCUGAUGAAGUUCUGGUUUGUUUUGAACAACUUUACAAGAGGUACACAUCAGGCAUGAUGAAUAUGGAACCUUGGUACACACCUAGAUUUGUCUCCAAUCAAAUAGGGUCACACAAACUCAAAAUGACAUUGGAUGAUCUUUGUUUGAUGAACAGUGACCUUGAUCCAGAUGUCGGACAGUUUGUGGAGAUGAUUUGGAAGGAAGCCACCCAAGAGGCUGAGAAAAUGCUUACUAUGUCUAUGGAACAUAUCAAAUCUGAUAAAGUAGAUGAUGCCAUGGUCAUUUUGCAACAGAUUAAGCAGAUGAAGAAAGAGAAUCAAGGAGACAACCGCUUGGCUGGAUUAGUGGAAGAGUUCUAUAACGAGGCUCUCCCCCACAAACAACAGUACAUAACACGAGAUCUAGAUCCACAAACCAUCUCCCAGAAACUAGAUUUGUGUCAGUUGAUCUAUGAUGUCUUGGCUGUAAGUGAAGCCACAGAUUUUUCUCCUGCUGCCAGCACUGUUGCUAAGUACAGGGCCCUAAGAUGUCACAUGACAAAAUUGGACCUGUCUGCCAGCAAAUAUCAAGUCAUACAAAAUAUUCUCAAGGACAGUGAACAAAGCAUUGCAGUUCACAGUGUUUUUGAAGCUGGGAGAACCAUGGAGGACAUUUUGUUUGAGAGUACUGCUGAAUGUAUUGGAAACACACAAUUAUUGAUGCAUGCUUCAGGGCCCCAUAAUCUCUUGGGAAUUCUAUCAAGGGGACUACUUCUUCCUCAAAAUGUAGUGGAGGAACACGGAGUGAACAGGACAGAUGGGGGAAAACUGGGAUAUGGAAUCUACUUCUCCAAUUCAUUCAACACGUGCCUUCAGUACGCUGUACCAAGUGCUGUGACGGGGAUGAGAAUGCUGGUAUUCUGUGAAGUGGCGCUAGGAAAUUGUAUGGACUUCACCACCCUCCAGUCAGGUAUAACAGCACCACCUGGUGGCUACCACAGUUGCCACGGAGUGAAGACCACAGAGAACGAUCCAACAGAGUUUUUGGAUGAUGAGUUUGUGAUAUACAGCACAUCACAGCAGAAAGUGAAGUAUGUAGUUCUGUUCACACUCCCCAGUGAUCCACCCCUUCGACUGAUCCAAACCACGCCCGAGGAGGAGGAGGAAAACAUGGAGGUCACGGCAAGCUCUGUUGAUAUAAUGGAAUUAAAGGACCUGCCUGACCCCUUCUCCAAAGUGACCAGCGGUUUGAUCAGCCAGAAUAAGUCUGUUCGAGUCCCACUGAAAGCAGUCCAUAUCCGGGCCAAGGUCAUUGAUAUGGUGGCAAAGGUUGUUGUCUUGCAAUCUUACAAAAACAACAUGACAGAGCCAAUCGAGGCGAAGUAUGUCUUCCCUCUGGAUGAGAAAGCUGCUGUGUGUGGAUUCGAAGCAUUCAUAAAUGGGAAACACAUUAUAGGAGAAAUCAAGGAAAAGAAGACAGCACACCGCGAGUACAGAGAGGCCAUCAGUAAAGGUCACGGUGCAUACUUAAUGGACGAGGAGGAACCAGAUGUAUUCACUGUGAGUGUCGGAAAUCUACCGCCCGAUUCGGAGGUACUGAUAAAGUUGACCUAUAUCAGUGAGCUUGGGGUGGAGGGAGAUGGCAUAGCCUUGACCAUCCCUGCCUCAGUGGCCCCGUGGGUCAGAGAUACGGCCUUAGCUCAGCAGACCCAGGCAGAGACAUCAGUCCUUCAGAUCAGUGACUUAAUGGAUUGUCAGAUCUCUCUGCAAGCUGCCAUAGAAAUGCCUUUUGAAAUAAGGGAACUGAAUUCUGGAACUCAUAGACUCAAGUACAAGAAAACUGAUACCAAGGCUGUGGUGGAGAUACCAAAGAAGUCCAACUUUGCCGAAGGAUUCCAGCUGCUGAUUAAGUUGGCAGAAAUCCAUGUUCCGCGCAUGUGGGUGGAAUGUCAUCCAGAAAGAGAUGUGCAGGCCUGUAUGUUAGCUUUUUACCCUGAAUUUGAGGCAGCAAUCGAUCCUAGCCCAGAGGUUGUAUUCCUUAUGGAUUUAUCCAACUCUAUGAAAGGGGACGCAUUUAGAGAUUCCAGAAAGGUCUUGCUGCUGGCACUAGAAAAUCUUCCUGAGAAAGCUUGCUUUAACAUCAUGACAUUUGGAUCAUCCUUUAGGGAGCUCUUCCAGUUUCCUCAUAGAAUUACAAAGAAUUCAACUAAUGAGGCCAUGAAAUAUAUUGAGAGAGCCAAUCCUGUGAUGGGCUGCAGUGAUGUGUUAUCUCCCCUGAAAUCUCUGUACUUACUAAGUCCAGCAGAGGGCAGUAGAAGCAUCUUCCUGAUCUCUGAUGGAUUUGUAGGAAAUGAGGGGCUUUUUGAAACUGUUGCCAAACAUUCCUCCAAAAAUAGGCUGUUCUGCAUGGGUGUUGGAAGUAAUAGGGACAGUCAUACAUUACGGAGUUUAGCUAAUUAUGGAGGUGGGACAUAUGAAUACUUCAACAGCAAAACCAAAUCUAACUGGCAGUCAAAGAUUGCAUUACAAAUGGACCAAGCUACACGGCCUGGGAUCUCCCAGGUGCAGGUGGAGUGGGGCCCGCUCACUGAUAAACUAGAUCCACCCCUUCAGGCUCCCUGUAAGAUCCCCAGCCUGUUCAGUGCAAAUAGGCUUGUGGUGUAUGGAUUUGUCAAGAAUUGCACACAGGCAAUUUUAAAGGCAAAGGUUGAUGAACAGGAAUUUGAAACAAUUGUUUCUACAACAGAGCUGAACUUCACAGAGGGAAAGAUGCUGCAUCAGUUGGCGGCCCGGGCUGUUAUAAGAGAUUAUGAGGACGGGGUUCUGAGUGACAGCAAACUUCACCACAAGUUAAUUAAACAAGAAAGAAAGCAGCAUAUCAUUGAGCUCAGCAAAGAGUUUGGAAUUGUGACUCCAUACACCAGUUUUGUAGCCAUAGAAGAGAGGACAGAGGGGGAAACAACUGAGGGUCCAAGUAUUGAAGAGCUAGUAAACAAUGAAUCUGUGGAUAAUCUUACCUACAUGGGAUGGAUCAAUGCGGAUAAUAUGGAUGAAAAGGAUCCAUUGGAGUGUGUAGAGGAACUACUACAUAGGGCAAGCAUUGCUGAGAGCUUCUCGCAGCUGGAGGUGGAGAGGUGCUACCUGUCUGUGCUGGAUUACAGAAAGGAUCUGUUGCAGGAGGACAACAAGGACAUGCUACAAAAGGUCUUGGAGAGGUCAGACGAGUUUUUUAGCAGUCAGCACUCAGAAAAAGCUCAAGCACUUCAGCAACAGUUCCAUAAAUAUUUAUCCAUUCCUAAACAGCUUGAGGUGCGAACUCUGACUGGGAGGUCCAUUCCUGUUGUGGCCGGCACAGUGGCUCAAUUAAAGUUAGAAAUCAUGGAGAAAGAGGGUCUGCCUGAGAGCAGCAUACGAUUAAUUCAUCAUGGAAAACUACUAGAGGACACAGACAAUUUAGAUAUGAGAGAACAUUCCAUUAUUUUUAUGGUUCAACGUUUGAGAGGAGGUGCACCUCCUCCUACUAUGCAUCACCAGGCAAGCUCUAGUCCAAGUGAUACCCCAAUCUACAGUGUAACGCUGCCUGUAGAUCUGACAUCUGAUGAACUUCAAUCAUGUUUUAAAAAAAAAAAGAAAAAGAAGAAAUGUUUAAGUGAAAAAGAGGCAGAAGAGCUGGGAUUUCUGGAGAAAAUGGAUAAAGUUCAUACAAACCAAAUGGAAUACCAGAAAAGUUUGGUGGAUCAGCAAGAAGGACCAAAUGUAAUAGCUGAACAGUUGAAUGAUGUUGGCAACACCACAGAAGCAGUCUCUCAAACCGUGCCACCACAAAGUUUCACUGGCAAUAUAGAUCAGAAAGCAGACGAAGAAUAUUCAGAUGGUGAUAUUCAUGUUGAAUCUGACAGUGAAGAUGAUGAUUUUGAGGCACGGGUUCAGAAAAAAGAAAUAGAUAUUUGCAAAGUGAAGAUCAAAGUUUUAAAAGUAGUAAAAGUCCAGUUUUUAAGAGAAGAGGAAGGAGUAGAAACAGGAAAUAUAACAGUAGACAAGAAGAAAGAGGAGUCAGAAGUUGUGAUAGGAGCUGGCAUAGAAGAGACAGAAGUAGGGAUAGGAGCUGGAAUAGACGAGACAGAAAUAGUGAUAGAAGCGAAGAAAGUAGCACCAAAAAUAUGGAUAGAAGCUGGGAUAGUAUAACCAGAAGCAGAGAUAGUAGCACCAAAAGUAGGAACAGAAGCUUGGAUAGAAGAUCCAGAAGUAGGGAUAGAAGCAGGGUUACUAGAUCCAGAAUAAGGGAUAGAAACUGGGGUAGUAUAUCCAGAAGCAGGGAUAGUAGCACCAAAAGUAGUAAUAGAAGAGACAGAAGUCAUGUUAGGAGCUUUGAUAGAAGAUCAAGAAGUAGGGAUAGAAGCUGGGAUAGUAUAACCAGAAGCAAGGAUAGUAGCAUCAAAAGUAAGGAAAGAAGCUUGGAUGAUAUAACCAGAAGCAGGGAUAGAAGCACCAAAAGCAAAGAAAAAAGCUUGGAUAGUAUAACCAGAAGCAGGGAUAGUAGCACCAAAAGUAGGGAUAAAAGCUGGGAUAGAAGGAGGGAUAACAGAUCCAGAAGUAUGGAUAGAAGCUGGGAUAGUAUAACCAGAAGCAGAGAUAGUAGCACCAAAAGUAGGAACAGAAGCUUGGAUAGAAGAUCCAGAAGUAGGGAUAGAAGCAGGGUUACUAGAUCCAGAAUAAGGGAUAGAAACUGGGGUAGUAUAUCCAGAAGCAGGGAUAGUAGCACCAAAAGUAGUAAUAGAAGAGACAGAAGUCAUGAUAGGAGCUUUGAUAGAAGAUUAAGAAGUAGGGAUAGAAGCUGGGAUAGUAUAACCAGAAGCAAGGAUAGUAGCAUCAAAAGUAAGGAAAGAAGCUUGGAUGAUAUAACCAGAAGCAGGGAUAGAAGCACCAAAAGCAAAGAAAAAAGCUUGGAUAGUAUAACCAGAAGCAGGGAUAGUAGCACCAAAAGUAGGGAUAAAAGCUGGGAUAGAAGGAGGGAUAACAGAUCCAGAAGUAUGGAUAGAAGCUGGGAUAGUAAAACUAAAAGCAAGGAUAGUAGCACCAAAAGAAGGGAUAGAAGCUUGGAUAGAAGUCAUGAUAGGAACUUUGAUAAAAGAUCAAGAAGUAGGGAUAGAAGCUGGGAUAUUUUAACCAGAAGCAUUGAUAGGAGCUUGGAUAGAAGAUUAAGAAGUAGGGAUAGAAGCUGGGAUAUUAUAACCAAAAGCAUGAAUAGGAGCUUGGAUAGAAGAUCCAGAAGUAGGGAUAGAAUCAGGGUUACUAGAUCCAGAAUAAGGGAUAGAAACUGGGAUAGUAUAACAAGAAGUAGGGAAAGUAGCACCAAAAGUAGGAAUAGAAAAGACAGAAGUCAUGAUAGGACCUUUGAUAGAAGAUCAAGAAGUGGGGAUAGAAGCUGGAAUAGUAUAACCAGAAGCCGGGAUAGUAGCACCAAAAGUAGGAAUAGAAAAGACAGAAGUCAUAAUAGGACCUUUGAUAGAAGAUCAAGAAGUGGGGAUAGAAGCUGGGAUAUUAUAACCAAAAGCAUGAAUAGGAGCUUGGAUAGAAGAUCCAGAAGUAGGGAUAGAAUCAGGGUUACUAGAUCCAGAAUAAGGGAUAGAAACUGGGAUAGUAUAACAAGAAGUAGGGAAAGUAGCACCAAAAGUAGGAAUAGAAAAGACAGAAGUCAUAAUAGGACCUUUGAUAGAAGAUCAAGAAGUGGGGAUAGAAGCUGGAAUAGUAUAACCAGAAGCCGGGAUAGUAGCACCAAAAGUAGGGAUAACAGUUCCAGAAGAAGGGAUAGAAGCUGUGAUAGUAUAACCAGAAGCAGGGAUAGUAGCACCAACAGUAGGGAUAGAAGCUUGGAUAGUAAAACCAAAAUCAAGGAUAAUAGCACCAAAAGAAGGGAUAGAAGCUUGGGUAGAAGGGACAGAAGUAGGGUUAGAAACUGUGAUAGUAUAACCAGAAGCAGGAAUAGUAGCUUGGGUAGAAGGGAGAGAAGUAGAGAUAUGAACUUGGAUAGUAGAACCAGCAGUAGAGAUAAAAGAUCCAGUAGAGAUAACAGCAGGGAUUGCAGCACCAAAAGUAGGGAUAGAAGCUUGGAUAGAAGAGACAGGAAAUGUGAUAGAAGCUUGGAUAGUAGAACCAGAAGUAGGGAUAGAAGCAGGGAUACUAGAACCAGAAGUAGGGAUAGAAGCAGAGAUACAAGAACCAAAAGUAGAGAUUGGAGCAGGUAUAGAAGAGACAGAAGUUAUGAUAGGAGCUGGGAUAGAAGAGACCGAAGUAGGGAUAGGAGCUGGGAGAGUAGAGACAGAAGUUAUGAUGGGAGCUGUACUAGGAAAUCAAGAAGUACGGAUAGAAGCUGGGAGAGUAGAGACAGAAGCUGGGAUAGGGAAAAUAAAAGAAGAGAAAGAAGAGACAGAAGUAGAGAUAGAUGCAUGGAUAGCAGUAGAGAUAAAAGCUGGGAUAGAAGAGACAGAAGAUGUGAUAGAAGCUGGGAUGGAAGAACCAGAAGUAGGGAUAGAAGCAGGGAUAUUAGAACCAGAAGUAGGGAUAGAAACAGAGAUACUAGAACCAAAAGUAGAGAUUGGAGCUGGUAUAGAAGAGACAGAAGUUAUGAUAAAAGCUGGGAUAGAAGAGACAGAAGAUGUGAUAGAAGCUGGGAUGGAAGAACCAGAAGUAGGGAUAGAAGCAGGGAUAUUAGAACCAGAAGUAGGGAUAGAAACAGAGAUACUAGAACCAAAAGUAGAGAUUGGAGCUGGUAUAGAAGAGACAGAAGUUAUGAUAGGAGCUGGGAUAGAAGAGACCGAAGUAGGGAUAGGAGCUGGGAGAGUAGGGAUGGAAGUAGGAACAGAAGCUGGGAAAGAGAAAACAGAAGAAGAGAUAGAAGAGACAGAAGAAGGGAUCAAAGCUGGGGUAGAAGAGACAGAAGCAGGAACAAAAGCUGGGAUAGUAGAGUCAGACGCCGGAAUAAAAGCUGGGAUGAAAGAGAAAAUAGAAGAGAUAGAAACAUUUACAGAAAAUCCAAAAGAAGAGAUUGGUAUUGGGAAAGUAGUAAAAUGGGUAGUGAUAGAAGCUGGGAUAGAGACAGAAGCAUUAAAGAUAGGAGAAAAAAAUUGUAUGGAAAGAAAACAAGAGGCAGGAAAAGAAAAAUAAGUAAGAAAAGUGAUGAUAGUAAGAUGCCACAGAGAACCGAAGAACCAUAUAAUCUGAAGGGAACCCAGUUUGAACUAGAGCUAUCAGAAGAAGGUGAGAUAAUGGAUUAAAUAUUUAAACAGAAUAAACUAUAGUUGAAGAAAUAAACAUGAUUUCUGUCCUAUUAUGUAUUUUGUAUUUAUAUGCAUUGAUUUAUUGCAAUUGCCUCUUUGUAGAACUUUUGAAUUCCUUGUGCCUUUAUGAAAGUCAGUUUGAGGCACCUGUUGGAAAUGGAGAUUUUGAAGUCCACUGCUGGACAGGGAAUUUGCACUAUCAAAAGAUUAGUACCAGGGAAAACAUAAAUUAUGAAAUUGACGUUUAUGUUAAUCCACAGAGAAAAGAGAGGGUACAAAAUGUAUUGUUGCCAGAAACAUUAUACAUGACCUUUGUGCCAAGUUAUCUGCUGAGAAUGUUGAGCCUGCAGCAAUUUCCGGAGAAUGCGGUGCAAGCAACUAUGGAAGUGCAAGAUGCUCCAGAAGAAUUCUUACCAAUAGGAGAAUUCUUACCAAUAGGACUGAUUGGAUGCAUUCAAAUCGAGGAACCUAAGGGACAUUUUGAACUUGUUUUAGCAAUUCCACAUUCUAUGAGUGAGACAAUAUUGUUCCUUAUCCCAGAAGAUGGAAAGGCUGUGGCUGAACAGCUUGAAGAGUUUGUGAAGGAACAUAAAAUGCAGGUUAAAGAAUACAGGAACAAACUGAAUGAAACACUUUCUACAGAUGCACCUUACAUCGACAUGUGGAAGAGUGUGUGGGACAAAGAUGGCACAAUGAACUUUAGAUAUCUGCCACCUUUGAACGAGGAUGGUCUGUGGAGACUUGAUAAGGAUCUCGCUAAGGGAUUAGCAAUCAGUGCCGAAAAACUGGAACAGUUACUGAAGAAUCAAGGCUUGCUGUCACUAUCAAAAUCCAUUCAGAGUGAGCUGUUACCUGUGAUGGCCACUUUUCUUGUUGGUAUAAUGAAGUUCAUGCAUGAAUUCAAAAAAAGAAAACUUCCAAAGUGGCUGUGCUGCUGCGAACAUCUUCUUGACAUAUCGCCAAACAUUUCUUCGGUGGUAGUCAGUUUUAAAUGUAUGAAAGAAGUUGUCAGCAUUGGGUUUGAUUUUCCACUAGAGGCAUCCAUUCAGUUGGGAAAUCGUAAACCAAUAUGGACUCCUUACAUCAGAGAUUUGGAUCUUGGAAAAAACCUGACACAUCUUGUGGAUUGCCUGUUACAGUCACUGUUCUAAUUUUAUGAUACUAUUGAAAAAGGACUAAGUUAAGAAUGUAGAGCAAUAUAAUGGAACACACGGCUCAGUGGCCACUAAGUAAAAGGUCGCUGGUUCAAAUCGCACCGUGGACAUAUGAUGUGUUUGUGUGAUUUUGAACAGGGUACUUCUGUAUCUGCAUUUUCUCAACCCAGCCAGCUAAAUCAACUGAAAGUUACCCUGCCAUUGGCUAGUGUCCCAUCUAAGAGGAGUCGAUCAUUCUCUUCUAGACUAGAUGACAACAGAGCAAGGGCGCAAAACCUAACAACCCUCUGGCUUGGAAUGGAUUUUAUCAACUAUCCAGUGCAAUUUUUAAAUUUGAUCUCUAUGUCAAACUGCGAAAGUUUAAUUUGUUUCUUACAAAGCCAAUGAAGUGAUAGCAAAUGUAGUUUAUAUUUGAUCAACAAAAGCUGUGAUAGAUUUGUAUAACAGUGUCAUAUAUUUUUAUUUCAUAUACAUUGUAUCUUUAUUUGUCUGUGAUAUUGUCUGCAAAAUUCUUUAUCCCAUUCAAAAAUGAAAUUUAUAGUUAAUUACAUAAAUUUAAUUCUUAUCAUUGCAAAGUUAAAUGAUAGUAGAUUUUAGUGGAGUUGUUUGGCUGCAAUACAUUAAGACGUUGAUUUUUUAAAACCAUAGUUGGAAAUCCAUGGUCAAUUUAAUGCAGAUUGUUUUGCAACACUUUGUAUUUAUCAUCUUUUGGGGGGGAUCAAUAAUUCAUUCAUGUUUACUUUUGUUUUGCAACUUCUAUUUUUAUUUUAAUCUUGUCAACAACUUCCACAUUUGUGUUUUAGUUUAUCUCUAAAUUUUUUACAUUCUUCAGUCUAGGCAACUUAUCAAUUCUUCAUUAAUAUUUUCUUUAAUCUUGGAUAAUACUUUUUCAUCAGUAUUUUUUUUUUACAUGUGUAAUGCUGAUCUGUUUCUGAACAUUCUUCUUAGACUAAUACAUAGUACUGUAAAUAAUUGGUUUUCCGUACAAUAUUUUGUUUGAACAUUCUUGUAAUAGAAAAUGAUUGGUUUGCAAUAUUGUAAUAAACUUGUACUAAAUGUAUUGUUUUACAAAUUAGAAAUAAACUUUAAAAUUC
rnacentral:sRNA from 1 species